rnacentral:rRNA from 1 species
UACGGGGGGGGCAAGCGUUGUUCGGAAUUACUGGGCGUAAAGGGUUUGUAGGUGGCUUGUUAAGUCAGACGUGAAAUCCCUCAGCUUAACUGGGGAACUGCGUCUGAUACUGGCGAGCUUGAGUGCAGGAGAGGAACGCGGAAUUCCAGGUGUAGCGGUGAAAUGCGUAGAUAUCUGGAGGAACACCGGUGGCGAAGGCGGCGUUCUGGACUGCAACUGACACUGAGAAACGAAAGCUAGGGGAGCAAACAGG